GAUGAACGCUGGCGGCGUGCCUAAUACAUGCAAGUCGAGCGAACGGACGAGAAGCUUGCUUCUCUGAUGUUAGCGGCGGACGGGUGAGUAACACGUGGAUAACCUACCUAUAAGACUGGGAUAACUUCGGGAAACCGGAGCUAAUACCGGAUAAUAUUUUGAACCGCAUGGUUCAAAAGUGAAAGACGGUCUUGCUGUCACUUAUAGAUGGAUCCGCGCUGCAUUAUCUAGUUGGUAAGGUAACGGCUUACCAAGGCAACGAUGCAUAGCCGACCUGAGAGGGUGAUCGGCCACGCUGGAACUGAGACACGGUCCAGACUCCUACGGGAGGCAGCAGUAGGGAAUCUUCCGCAAUGGGCGAAAGCCUGACGGAGCAACGCCGCGUGAGUGAUGAAGGUCUUCGGAUCGUAAAACUCUGUUAUUAGGGAAGAACAUAUGUGUAAGUAACUGUGCACAUCUUGACGGUACCUAAUCAGAAAGCCACGGCUAACUACGUG
rnacentral:rRNA from 1 species